GUUGAUGGGUUCUUUCUGAAGAGCAGAGAUUUGUAUCAUGGAAGGAAAAGAUCUGCACUAGAUGGUUCUUUUCCUGUGCAUGAAAAAGCAAGAGAAAAAUUGGCUCCUCUUGAUCUUUUUUUCAUCAUGCUGUCUAACCGACACUUUGCAAGGCCUCAAUUUAAUCUGUCCUGUUGGUGUUGUCAGCAAGUUCUUUCCUGUGUAAAAGCUAACAAUGAGCAAAUUUGUCUAGUGGAGGAAGCAGAGCUUCUAAACAGUACAAGCUGCAAGGAUCCUGUGGAUAAGAUCUAGUAGGGUCAUACUGUCAUGCACAUCUACCAUCUAUGCUUAAAGCAUGCAACUGAUAUAACAUCUAUGUAGAAUUUCCUUUAGGGCUAUACUAGUACUAUAUCAGAUAAAUCUGGCAACCUACAUGAUUGAGUAAUUAAAUCACUCAUUGAUGUGUUUUCCUGAACUGUCUGUGUCAGUUUACUCCAUUUUGACCAGACAGGUCACUGAAUCAAGAGAGUUUGGCCAGUUCAGCCAAAAGGAGGUGCAGAAUAACAUGCCAAUAAUAGGUGUUACUUAGCACUUUAGUAGUAGUUCUUGAUCUAAACCAGCUCUGAUGCAACAAUAGUUAAAGUUAUCUGCUUCCAGGUGUUACCUGCAAUGGACAUCUUGAUCUUUAUGACAAUUUUCUGAGCCACCAACAGGUGUUUGGUACUGGUUGAUGCCUGACAUGCAAAUGGACGAAGGAGAUACUAGUUUAAGAGAACUUUGUAUUUAUUAAACAAAUGAAAUGAACAGCUCAUAAGGAAAACAACAAGAAAGAAAAAAAAAUGUAUGGUAAGAAUUGGAUCUCACAAAAAAAAUUGGAAAGGUGAGCAAACAUAAACAUAGGUCACAAAAUGACGAAACCAUCAGGUACAGGCGUAUUGCACAAAUUCCCUUUGUGCGGUUUGUUGCAUGUCUACGUCAGUUUAAGCUUUACAACCUUGGAGUUAGAGAGCUGAUUGGAGAAUAACAGAGAAGGGAAUGACAAUUAGAGCAAGUUCAAUAGUAUAGCUAACUACUGGCUCCAAUUCAACUAUAGUCAAUCUAAUAGCCAAUUUAUACAAUAGUUAACUAUAAAGCACUAAUAUAUGGUCCCACAUUUUAUAUACACAUUGUGUCUUGAAGCUCGUGCUGUAGCUGACUAUAAAUUAGUGGCCUAUUACUCUUCUCUUUUCUCUAUUCUCUUAUCUCUUUAAAAUAUGUUUACAGCUGGCUUAUAGCCUGCUUAUUGUACCUGCUCUUAAACAAAGGGGAAGAUAUAAUGACAAGAACAUCUAUCAGCACAAGAAUCUAUACGCGAUGGAGUGGAUCUGAGUCAGCAUUGGAUCAUGCUCCACUAAUCAACUGACAGUAUCAUCAUUAGCAUUUUUUAUUGCUUACACAACCAAUCAUACUCAGGAAGUCUGAAUACUAAUCCAAGGUUCAAGGAUAUUAUUGCAGUGUAUUCUAUGCCCUUUGCAUAUAACCCACAUAGGAAAAAGCAGGGAAAUCUAACAGAAUCCUUCUUUUUUACUUUUGCUGGAAAGUUCCUAGCGCUGAUUUAUGAUUUAUCUGUUUCAUUUACCUUACCAAAAUAACUGAGGAUACAGCACGUUUUGUGCUUCAAUUAAAUAUCUCCUUUGUCUAAAAAAAUCUACUUGACAAAAAAAAACUACUCACCUGUACUAAAACAAGAUCAUAUUUGAACGCUCUUAUUUGUCUCAAAAUAAGUUCGUUUUGAACC
rnacentral:lncRNA from 1 species